rnacentral:rRNA from 1 species
AUUGAACGCUGGCGGCAUGCCUUACACAUGCAAGUCGAACGGCAGCACGGGUGCUUGCACCUGGUGGCGAGUGGCGAACGGGUGAGUAAUAUAUCGGAACGUACCUUAUUGUGGGGGAUAACGCAGCGAAAGCUGUGCUAAUACCGCAUAAUCCCUUAGGGGGAAAGCGGGGGACCGUAAGGCCUCGCGCAAUUAGAGCGGCCGAUACCUGAUUAGCUAGUUGGUGAGGUAAAGGCUCACCAAGGCGACGAUCAGUAGCUGGUCUGAGAGGACGAUCAGCCACACUGGGACUGAGACACGGCCCAUACGCCUACGGGAGGCAGCAGUGGGGAAUUUUGGACAAUGGGGGCAACCCUGAUCCAGCAAUGCCGCGUGAGUGAAUAAGGCCUUCGUGUUGUAAAGCUCUUUUGUCAGGGAAGAAACAGCAGCUCUAACACAGUAUGCGAAUGACGGUACCUGAAGAAUAAGCACCGGCUAACUACGUGCCAGCCGCCGCGGUAA